rnacentral:rRNA from 1 species
GAUGAACGCUGGCGGCGUGCCUAAUACAUGCAAGUCGAGCGAACGGACGAGAAGCUUGCUUCUCUGAUGUUAGCGGCGGACGGGUGAGUAACACGUGGAUAACCUACCUAUAAGACUGGGAUAACUUCGGGAAACCGUAGCUAAUACCGGAUAAUAUUUUGAACCGCAUGGUUCAAAAGUGAAAGACGGUCUUGCUGUCACUUAUAGAUGGAUCCGCGCUGCAUAGCUAGUUGGUAAGGUAACGGCUUACCAAGGCAACGAUGCAUAGCCGACCUGAGAGGGUGAUCGGCCACACUGGAACUGAGACACGGUCCAGACUCCUACGGGAGGCAGCAGUAGGGAAUCUUCCGCAAAGGGCGAAAGCCUGACGGAGCAACGCCGCGUGAGUGAUGAAGGUCUUCGGAUCGUAAAACUCUGUUAUUAGGGAAGAACAUAUGUGUAAGUAACUGUGCACAUCUUGACGGUACCUAAUCAGAAAGCCACGGCUAACUACGUG